rnacentral:rRNA from 1 species
CCUCGGCGGAUCAGCCCGCUCCCGGUAAAACGGGACGGCCCGCCAGAGGACCCCUAAACUCUGUUUCUAUAUGUAACUUCUGAGUAAAACCAUAAAUAAAUCAAAACUUUCAACAACGGAUCUCUUGGUUCUGGCAUCGAUGAAGAACGCAGCAAAAUGCGAUAAGUAAUGUGAAUUGCAGAAUUCAGUGAAUCAUCGAAUCUUUGAACGCACAUUGCGCCCGCCAGUAUUCUGGCGGGCAUGCCUGUUCGAGCGUCAUUUCAACCCUCAAGCACAGCUUGGUGUUGGGACUCGCGUUAAUUCGCGUUCCUCAAAUUGAUUGGCGGUCACGUCGAGCUUCCAUAGCGUAGUAGUAAAACCCUCGUUACUGGUAAUCGUCGCGGCCACGCCGUUAAACCCCAACUUCUGAAUGUUGACCUCGGAUCAGGUAGGAAUACCCGCUGAACUUAAGCAUAUCAAUAGG